AUUCAACUGACAAGUCCCAAUUAGGAUGAAACGCUCGUCCUGUAU
rnacentral:hammerhead_ribozyme from 1 species